AUGUUUAUUUAUAUUUUAAAUAAAAAUCAACAGGCUGGGGGAGAAAGAUCUCUUCAUCCUGAAGAGUGUGUGGGUGCAUGUAAUGUGAGAUGUUCAGCAACUAUACACAAGAAGGAAUGUCUAAGAUAUUGUAAUAUUUGUUGUGCAAAAUGUUUGUGUGUUCCAUCUGGAACUUAUGGUCAUAAGGAAGAAUGUCCAUGCUACAAUAACAUGAGAAAUACGAAAGGAGGACCCAAGUGUCCUUAA
rnacentral:lncRNA from 1 species